rnacentral:tRNA from 1 species
GGUGAGAUGGCUCAGUGGGUAAGAGCACCCGACUGCUCUUCCGAAGAUCCAGAGUUCAAAUCCCAGCAACCA